GAUGAACGCUGACGGCGUGCCUAAUACAUGCAAGUCGAGCGAACGGACGAGAAGCUUGCUUCUCUGAUGUUAGCGGCGGACGGGUGAGUAACACGUGGAUAACCUACCUAUAAGACUGGGAUAACUUCGGGAAACCGGAGCUAAUACCGGAUAAUAUUUUGAACCGCAUGGUUCAAAAGUGAAAGACGGUCUUGCUGUCACUUAUAGAUGGAUCCGCGCUGCAUUAGCUAGUUGGUAAGGUAACGGCUUACCAAGGCAACGAUGCAUAGCCGACCUGAGAGGGUGAUCGGCCACACUGGAACUGAGACACGGUCCAGACUCCUACGGGAGGCAGCAGUAGGGAAUCUUCCGCAAUGGGCGAAAGCCUGACGGAGCAACGCCGCGUGAGUGAUGAAGGUUUUCGGAUCGUAAAACUCUGUUAUUAGGGAAGAACAUAUGUGUAAGUAACUGUGCACAUCUUGACGGUACCUAAUCAGAAAGCCACGGCUAACUACGUG
rnacentral:rRNA from 1 species